rnacentral:tRNA from 1 species
UCCGGGGUAGCUCAAUCGGCAGAGCGGGACCCUGUUAAGGUCACGGUUGUGGGUUCGAGUCCCACCCCCGGAG